AUUGAACGCUGGCGGCAGGCCUAACACAUGCAAGUCGAGCGGAUGAAGAGAGCUUGCUCUCUGAUUUAGCGGCGGACGGGUGAGUAAUGCCUAGGAAUCUGCCUGGUAGUGGGGGAUAACGUCCGGAAACGGGCGCUAAUACCGCAUACGUCCUACGGGAGAAAGCAGGGGACCUUCGGGCCUUGCGCUAUCAGAUGAGCCUAGGUCGGAUUAGCUAGUUGGUGAGGUAAUGGCUCACCAAGGCGACGACCCGUAACUGGUCUGAGAGGAUGAUCAGUCACACUGGAACUGAGACACGGUCCAGACUCCUACGGGAGGCAGCAGUGGGGAAUAUUGGACAAUGGGCGAAAGCCUGAUCCAGCCAUGCCGCGUGUGUGAAGAAGGUCUUCGGAUUGUAAAGCACUUUAAGUUGGGAGGAAGGGCAGUAAGUUAAUACCUUGCUGUUUUGACGUUACCGACAGAAUAAGCACCGGCUAACUUCGUGCCAGCCGCCGCCGUAAAAC
rnacentral:rRNA from 1 species